AUACUUACCUGGACGGGGUCGAUGGGUGAUCAGGAAGACCUAUGGCCUAGAUCAAUGGUUCACAUUGCACUUGGUGGAUACGUUGGUCUACCGUCUCCUCAAGUAGGAGAGUGGACGUCAUAAUUUGUGGCAGAGGGGUAUGCGUUCGCGCGGCCCCUAC